UACGUAGGGUGCGAGCGUUGUCCGGAAUUAUUGGGCGUAAAGAGCUUGUAGGCGGUCUGUCGCGUCUGCUGUGAAAAUCCGGGGCUCAACCCCGGACUUGCAGUGGGUACGGGCAGACUAGAGUGUGGUAGGGGAGACUGGAAUUCCUGGUGUAGCGGUGAAAUGCGCAGAUAUCAGGAGGAACACCGAUGGCGAAGGCAGGUCUCUGGGCCGACUACUGACGCUGAGAAGCGAAAGCAUGGGGAGCGAACAGG
rnacentral:rRNA from 1 species